rfam:Puccinia graminis f. sp. tritici CRL 75-36-700-3 supercont2.13 genomic scaffold, whole genome shotgun sequence.
GCAUCUGUAGCCUAGUUGGUAAAGGAAGCACUCUUGUAUGUGACUCAGCAUUGCUGAGGUUGUGAGUUCAAAUCUCACCAGGCACA